rnacentral:lncRNA from 1 species
UUUCUCUUAUCUCCCCAUUAUUCCCUCUUCUUUGUUCACUAUUAUUUGAACUGAAUGCAACACGAGGAGACACUAUAAAUUUCAUUACCCCAUAUCUUUUAAAUUUGUUGCAAGGAUUGCACACUUAGAACUGAAACAAAUGCCUUUUUUUUUUUUUUUUUUGUUUUCUGUGUUGGUUUUCUCACAUUUUCUUUACUAUGGUUUCACCUCACUUGAAGAUAUAUUUAAAUUCUUCACCAAAUUUCAAAUUCCAAAAACGGUCUUCUGUAAUAUAUAUAUAUAUGAAUUAUUUGAAUUAAACAAAGAAACUUGUAAGUGAAAGCAGUAUUUAUAAGCUUAAUUUUCAAAGCCCAAAUUAUUAUCAAAAUGGUCAGACCCUGACCUUUUUGUUUUUCCUGAGGUCUGGUUGGAGCAUACUCAGGUUCCUAUGGAUUAUGUAUAUUUGAAUGAGCACGAGUUGUUUGUCUCCAUCAGGAACUAAAACUUCAUUAACAAUAAAUUUUGUUAAGUUAUUCUUACAAAAUAGUUGAAGAUCGGCAUCUUGAAGCCUAACAAAAAAAAUAAAAAUAAAAAAGGAUUAUGCAUUCUCUUAUGUGUUCAUAGUUUUAUAAUGUUGUACCCCAUCUGGAACUGACGGUGAUUGUUUGAGAGAAUUCCGCUCUCUCACUCUCGUGUCUUUUCCUUUAUCUUGUUCUACUGAAGUGUGCGUCUGUUUGAACGCUUUGCUGAAGAUGCAAGUGAACAAAUGACUUUAUACAUGUUAAGUUCCUGACAAUUAAAUUACUCUUGGACGUCAUGCAGAGCACCAGUACUUGAGAAAGCCUCUAAAUCUGUUUGGGAAUUAAUUUUGGACAACAAUGGAUUAGGCAAAGAAAUAAACGACACGGUGGAAAAAGUAUUUUGUCGAUUGAGUGGCAAGGAACCUCCAUUGUUUCUUCCUCAAAAUGGGGAUAUGCCACCAGUAAAAGAAACUGAGCACGAGAAAGGCAAGGGAAAAGAACCUGAAGAUAAUUAUCACAAGGAGAAAUCACAACCUCUUAGGAAAAGGAGUUUCAAUGACAUGAAUGGCAAAGAGGAAAGCACUAUUGCAGAUGGAGCUGGAGAAAGUCUAGCCGUACCUGAAGAACAUAGUAGGUCACCUUAGUUGAGUUUGAAGACAUAAAAAUCUAUUGAACCGUGCUCUAUAAUGACAGAUCUUCGAGUUGUAGAAUGUGAUCAUUGGUUCGAGCUCUUUCAACUUAAUCUGACGCGCAUGGCCUGUGUUGAGCAAGAACAAAAUUUGACAAUGUGCACGGUGCACACACAAUUUAUUGGAGUCCAAAAUUUUGUUUGUGUUGAUGUAGGUGAACACUUCUGUGAACUUUAAUGUUCCCCUUAACUUUAUGUUUAGGAAAUAGGAUGGUUAGUCGUAAAAGACUAGCUUUUGUUUGUAAUCUAAUCUAUCUACCCAUGUGAAUGCUGUGAAAAGCCACAUAAAUAUUGAUUGGCCUUGUUGUGCAGUACUCAGAAGACUAAAUAGAUGAAGCUUUCAAGAACUUUCUUUGUUCCGUUUUUGAGUGUGGUGUG